rnacentral:rRNA from 1 species
UCGGGAAUUUUGGGCAAUGGGCGAAAGCCUGACCCAGCAACGCCGCGUGAGGGAUGAAGUAUUUCGGUAUGUAAACCUCGAAAGAAUGGGAAGAAUAAAUGACGGUACCAUUUAUAAGCUCCGGCUAACUACGUGCCAGCAGCCGCGGUAAUACGUAGGGAGCAAGCGUUGUUCGGAUUUACUGGGCGUAAAGGGCGCGUAGGCGGCGCGGUAAGUCACUUGUGAAAUCUCUGAGCUUAACUCAGAACGGCCAAGUGAUACUGCUGUGCUAGAGUGCGGAAGAGGCAACCGGAAUUCUUGGUGUAGCAGUGAAAUGCGUAGAUAUCAAGAGGAACACCUGAGACGAAGGCGGGUUGCUGGGCCGACACUGACGCUGAUGCGCGAAAGCCAGGGGAGCAAACG